rnacentral:rRNA from 1 species
AGUGGCGGACGGGUGAGUAACGCGUGAGAAUCUGCCUUGGGGUCGGGGACAACCACUGGAAACGGUGGCUAAUACCGGAUAAGCCGAUUGGUGAAAGAUUUAUUGCCCGAAGAGGAGCUCGCGUCUGAUUAGCUAGUUGGUGAGGUAAGAGCUCACCAAGGCAGCGAUCAGUAGCUGGUCUGAGAGGACGAUCAGCCACACUGGGACUGAGACACGGCCCAGACUCCUACGGGAGGCAGCAGUGGGGAAUUUUCCGCAAUGGGCGAAAGCCUGACGGAGCAAGACCGCGUGAGGGAGGAAGGCUCUUGGGUUGUAAUCCUCUUUUCUCAGGGAAGAAGCUCUGACGGUACCUGAGGAAUCAGCCUCGGCUAACUCCGUGCCAGCAGCCGCGGUAAUACGGAGGAGGCAAGCGUUAUCCGUAAUUAUUGGGCGUAAAGCGUCCGCAGGUGGCGAUUCAAGUCUGCUGUCAAAGCACGGGGCUUAACUCCGUAAAGGCAGUGGAAACUGAAUAGCUAGAGUGCCGUAGGGGUAGAGGGAAUUCCCGGUGUAGCGGUGAAAUGCGUAGAGAUCGGGAAGAACAUCGGUGGCGAAAGCGCUCUACUGGACGGCAACUGACACUCAGGGACGAAAGCUAGGGGAGCGAAUGGGAUUAGAUACCCC